GGAGCGGUAAAGCGGUUGGCCAGGCCCAGCAGGGCUGCUGACCUGUCACACCGGGGUUCGAUCCUCGUCCGCUCCGCCA
rnacentral:tRNA from 1 species